rnacentral:rRNA from 1 species
UGGGGGAGUAUUGCACAAUGGGGGGGAACCCGUGAUGCAGCGACGCCGCGUGGGUGAAGAAGCGCCUCGGCGCGUAAAGCCCUGUCAGCAGGGAAGAAAAUGACGGUACCUGAAGAAGAACGCCCGGCUAACUACGU